rnacentral:rRNA from 1 species
UGGGGAAUAUUGGACAAUGGGCGAAAGCCUGAUCCAGCCAUGCCGCGUGUGUGAAGAAGGUCUUCGGAUUGUAAAGCACUUUAAGUUGGGAGGAAGGGCAGUAAGCGAAUACCUUGCUGUUUUGACGUUACCGACAGAAUAAGCACCGGCUAACUCUGUGCCAGCAGCCGCGGUAAUACAGAGGGUGCAAGCGUUAAUCGGAAUUACUGGGCGUAAAGCGCGCGUAGGUGGUUCGUUAAGUUGAAUGUGAAAGCCCCGGGCUCAACCUGGGAACUGCAUCCAAAACUGGCGAGCUAGAGUAGGGCAGAGGGUGGUGGAAUUUCCUGUGUAGCGGUGAAAUGCGUAGAUAUAGGAAGGAACACCAGUGGCGAAGGCGACCACUUGGGCUCAUACUGACACUGAGGUGCGAAAGCGUGGGGAGCAAACAGG